UAUACACAUUCAUAUAUCUACAAUGUCGGGUAGAUGCAAAGGCGUGUGGAGACGGACAGGAAAAGCCACAGCGGGACGGGAACGAACAGGGGUACGGGAGAUGCGAGCGGCGGUCAUUCCGGCACCGGCGAUGGAACCAAUGGCCAGACGGCGUAGAAAAGGUGUGGCGGAAACGGCGCCGGUACGAGAUCCGGCACCAACCCCGGUUCCUGGGCCAGAUCCAGAGGCGGCACCCGCAGCAGCGCCACCUGCAAAGCGUCUACGCGCAGACGAGAGCGCCGGAAAUGAAGUUUGGAUUAUGGGAGAUUCGAUCCCCUAUUAGACCGGUCAGCGGGCGGAGUUGCAAGGAAUGCUGGACCUUAACCUCCCAGGUGGGACACGAUUGGUUUGGAUGGGCGUUCCUUUAUGGGGUGGGCAGACGCCGUACACCACAUGCAGCUCCCCGCUCUAUUCCGGAUGCCACCGAAGAUACACUUGGACCACCUUGAAGAUGCCUUAAACAACAUGCUAUAGGACAAUCCUGAGAUCAGGCAGAGAGGUGACAAUUUCCCGUUGUACAAUACGCUUGAAGUACAGAGAGGUGACGAUUUCUCGCUGUACAAUACGCUCAACGUACAGAGAGGUGACAAUUUCCCGCUGCCCAAUACGCUAAAAACACAGAGAGGUGAUAAUUUCUCUCUGUAAAAUACGCUCAAAGUACAGAGAGCUGAUACUUUUCCGCUCUACAAUACGCUCAAAGUACAGAGAGGUGAUAAUUUCCCGCUGAACAAUACGCUCAAAGAACGGAGAAGUGAUAUUUUCCCGAUUUACAAUGCGCUCAAAGAACAGAGAGGUGACAAUUUCCCGCCGUUGACGCUCAAAGAGGCGAAAACUUCCCGCUGUACAAUACGUUCAAAGUACAGAGAGGUGAUAAUUUCCCUCUGUACAAUACGUUCAAAGUAUUAUUGAGUUAGAUCGCUUUUAAUGAAUGACUGAUGACUACGAAAGCUUAUAUAGAGACAAGGUUUGCGUUACCUUUGAUUUUGUGUUCUUGUUGAUUCAGAAUUUUCUAUAGCGAGUUUCAUGAGGUAUUUGCUUGUUCCCUCCAGUAGUCUUUAAUUUAAGACAUGUGCACUUUGCUUGUACAAUACUAAGCAAUACAUACAGCAAAAGAAUUAAACAUUGAUAACUGAGACCAACGUUAAAAAACUUACAAAUAGAUUUAACCUAUUGAUUGCUAGUCUAACCAUAAAGGUAUCACAUAUUUAAUUUAACAACCCACACAAGUGUAAAUAAAUAUUUACACCAUAGCAUCAAAAUUAAAAUUGACCCCCCCCCCCAAAAAAAAAGAAAAAACACAACAACAAACAAAAAACAAGUGUGGAAUAACAAUAAUGUUUAACGCUUUGUUAAUGACUCAAUUGUUUAGAUAUGCCAGAUCAACAUAUUAAUUACAGCUUUUUGAAGAGAUGAAAUGAAUGAAAUAAACACAAACAAUUAUCAGUUAUAUCUCUGUUUGUUGACAACUUUUAAAACCUAUUACAAUAUUCUUCUUACUCCAGAUAAUCGAAUAUCAUAGUAGAUUGAGAAGUAUAUAUAUGUUGUAUAUAGUUUAUUAAACAUUGGAGUUAUUGAUUAUUGUUUGGUUGCAUGGUUUCUUAAAUUGUCCAUUAGGUCUGAUUUCAGCGGUUCAUAUUGUUUUCAUUAAAAGUCAAGAAAAGCAUGUAAAUAUAGUACACAUUUUAUUAAGGUUUGACAUACAUUUAACCACAUAAGAUCGUUCUUUAGAAUCCCUGGUUCAUGGUGCGUGCAGCUGAAUGUUGACAAUUAGAUGUUCAGAGUUGUCGUAUGUUAACCACUUAGA